rnacentral:lncRNA from 1 species
CCUGGAAAAGGAAAUAGGCGAUUCUGAUUGAUUGAUUCUCUUAUGCGUUAUACAAAUGUCUAUGCUCUCUCAAAAAACUGCGACUGUAAUUAUAGUUAUUUCUACAAAGUAACUUUCCCAAUCCCGAUUAUAUUUAGUACCAAUAUCUUACGAAAAAUUUAAUUAUUAAGAAAUUUGGAACAAUAUUAUAAAAACUAUUAUCUAAUAGAAAAAAAUUUUUAGUUUAGAUUUAUGCUUUUAAAAUAUUAUUUUUAGUUUUGGUUUAAAAAAUAUAAUAAAAAACUAAGUAUAACAUUUCAAUAAAUUUUUUAGUAAUAUUUCAGACAUACAUUGAAAUCUUACAAUUGCAUAUUGUUUUGAGAUCUAUUCGUUAUAUGAUAACUUAACAAGAUAAUAAUCACUUUGUAAAACACCCAAACGUAAUUAUAUUCCUAUCCUUACUCAUGUAGUAUUAAGCGGAGAGUAUUUUGUGCUAUAACAAAUUUUGUUAUUAUGAGGUGUUUUAAUGUAUUUCGCAAUUUUUGACAUAUUUUACUUUUUAGUUGAAAUAUUUCUGAGAUAUCUUUGAAAUUUCAAUGCUAUAUGAGUCAUCAAGAAACGAUUAAUUAAUAUAAGAAAGAAAAAGAAAAAAAGCGGAUUUUAAACAUUUUAUAUUUUAUCAAUAACAUUGGCCCGAUAAAUCUUAUUUGUGCGCAGUUGAUGAAAAUAUAUGAAACAUAUCACAUAUAUUUUUGAUACAUCACAUAGUCAAACUAAGCAACCAUCUCGUUAGUAACGAGGAGAUGUCUUGUGUCUACGAGGUCAGUAUAAAUAAUAGGUAUACGAAUAUGACUGACGUUCUGCCCGCGCAAGAUCUACUUAUAGAUUCUUCACCUACAGUUGGGACGCGUAUUAAUCGGGUUUCGGAUUUUUGGAGCGUACGACCGGGCGUGCCGUCUCUUUUACAGUAUAUAUAAAUAUGUAUACGUGUGUAUGUCAAAUUUAUUCAUAGAAUUUCUCAUUACUAACUCGCUAGUUGCUAGUUAUAGAUACAUAGAGAUACGUAGAGAUACUCAAAAUUGUUGCUAUAUGUUAUGCAUUAUAGUACGAUUACGUGUAAUGCCUCAAUAACAACAUUCGUCGUCGUAUACAUCAUACAAUUCGGUAAGUUACUAAAAUAUACAUAUUUGACUAUAUUAAGAUAUUGAUUAUAUUAAGUAUGCUUUUUAAAAAAUGUUAAAAAACUGAUACAUAUAAUAAAACAACAUAUCUUAAAACUCGCAUUAUAAAUACAAAAAAAUUGUCAUUUACAUUUUUUUAAAGAGUUCGCGCGUAAUUGAAGCAAGUAUAAUUAACACAUUUCUUUUUUACACAAUUAAUUUAAUGAAUUGUAAAAUACAAUGUAUGAAUUAUGUCUUUGUCAGUAUUAAAUAAUUUAUAUUUCGUUUCUAAUAAUUUUAUCAUAAUUUAUAAUUAUAGUAUAUCUUUAUUAUUUGACAAUAUAUUAACUUAGUUAAGUGAAUUGUAGAGAAAUAAUUUUAAUAGUAAGAAAGAAGUCACUCUGGAUAUUAAGAUAGUUUAUUUUAAUAUCUUUGACGGCAUUAACGCCAUUUGACGCAGAAAAUUAUUGUGCCUUUGUACGGCAUUAGCGUCGUAUAUAUGGCGCAUAUUGUAUUGUUUUUGAUUGACUGAUACCGAUUUUUAUAAAAAUUGGUGCCUAAGGAUACUAAAAGUUUCCUUGAAUUGAUGAAUAUGAAUUUAAAGUAUAAAAAUUAAAAAAGCAAAUUAAAAAUGGCAAUUUCAAUGAUUAUCGAAAAAAAGUCUAUUCAAUUGAUAGAACCUAUAGUAUUUGAAGGUUUUGUGAAUUGCUAAAUACGAAAUUAAAAUAAAAAAUAUUUAAAUUUAAAAUGUCGAACCAAUAUGAAUGCUGAUAAAAAAUUAAAAUUUAUCGGAUUAAUGAAUUUAGCGCUUGAAGAUUCCGUGGGUCACUGAAUAGGAAAUAAAAUAUACCUCGUUAAACGCCCUAAGUAUUAAGAUGUCACCAGGAGGUCAAUCAUGAGUCUUUUCCCUAGCGUGAAUUAAUAAAAAGUGAAACAGUGAACUUAAGUCAGUGAAAAAUAAAAAGUUUGACAUAAAUUUAUAAAUAAAAAUUUUAUACUUAUGUUAUUUAACAUGACAGAUGCGUUUUGGGUUAUUCUUAAUAAAAAUAUCAAAAUCAAAAUGAUCAAAAUAGUCUCCGUGUAACACGGAGAAUAUACGUGACGCACAAAAUCCGUUCGAUAUCCAAAUAAUAGGAAUUUAUGUAUCAUUGCACAUUUCUUGACAAAAAAGUUGUCUGACUUUCUUUGUAAAUUAAAGAACUUUAUGUAAUGAAUACUUCUAUUAUAAUAGUAGUGGGCAGAGGAAUGGCGUCGGUGAGAACGGGCGUGAAUUUGGAAGCUCCGAAGUAAGGAGUAGUGAAGUAAUAAUGGAGGUGAGAGGGAGAGUAGGAAAGUGGAAAUCCGGGUAAAAGAGGACGAGUGGUGGUCGGGCGAUUGGAGGGAAGCAGGAGGACGGCGGUAAAGGAAAGAUAUGAAAAGAUAUUGUGGUGGAGUUUUGGAGAUGAGAGAAACGAAUGUGGAAUGAAGCAGCCGUGGAGAAGAAGAGGACAGUAAGAGGGCGCUGAGAAGAAAGGAAAAGUCGGUUGGCAGGAGAGGAAGACGGAAACAAGGAAGAUGACGAGAAGAUGAGAGAUAGCGCGGAUGGAGAAGAUGGUGGAAAAUGGGUUGGCAGGAGUGAGGCGGCAGACGGUAGCGUGAUUUGGGAACGCAGAUUCGCACAGCACGUGGUCCGUCGAAAGGAGAAGAUAGCCGACGCAGAGACAGUAAUAGCAGAGUGAGAGAAAGCAGAUGAGGUGAAAAUAGAGGCAGAGAUGAAAUUUAAUAAUGAGGAGGAGAAGAGAACGGGAUAAUGAAGGAGACGGAAGAGGACAGAGUGAGAGAAGAAAGUGCGGUAGAGAGGAGGAUAGAGGAGAUUGGAAGAGAAUUAAGAAAACAGAAUGAAAAUGUCAAAAGGGUUGAAAGAGGUUAGGAAAAGAUUUAGAAGUCUGGAGGCGAGACUGGAGAGGUGGGAGACGGAAGAAGAGGACUGAGAUCCAGACGAGGAAGAAAAGAGGGGAAGUAAGGUAGGAGUUAAAAGGAGGUGAUAAUAAGGAACGGAAACUGGAGAGAGGAGAGACAGAAGGUAGAAGAGGAGGCAGAGGAUGACGGUAGGAACCAGAAGAAUUGGAGUUCGGGAGAGGACAGUCAGAUGGAAUGAGAGAGGAGCAGAGAGGAAUUAACUGGGAAGCGGCAGUAAGGGCGUUUGGAGGAGGAAGCGGGAGGAGAUGGGGGAAAUAGAGCAGAGGGA